CCUACGGGAGGCAGCAGUAGGGAAUCUUCCGCAAUGGACGAAAGUCUGACGGAGCAACGCCGCGUGAGUGAUGAAGGUUUUCGGAUCGUAAAACUCUGUUGUUAGGGAAGAACAAGUUGGGUAGUAACUGACCCAGCCUUGACGGUACCUAACCAGAAAGCCACGGCUAACUACGUGCCAGCAGCCGCGGUAAUA
rnacentral:rRNA from 1 species